rnacentral:ribozyme from 1 species
UUGGAAAAGAUUAGGUCCAAAGCCACACAGUUUUCUUUGUGUGCUUCUGGGACAGCUAGUGUUGAGGAUGUUGCACCAUUUGGUUUGAUGCUACUUGAGAAUCUCGUCUCUU